rnacentral:lncRNA from 1 species
AAAAAUCUAAAAUCAGUUACUAUGCCCAUAAUACCAAGUAUUAAAGCCUUUUAUGUCUCUCCUUCCCAUACUAAUGUUUAUCUUUUUCCACAAAUGUUCAGGUUCAAGCCCCCAGUAGGAGCCUCCUGGCAAGCAGAAACUGAUGCAGCUCUUGCAGAUGCUCGUAAACAUCUAGUGUUGGUCAUGGGCUGUGGCAGUUCAAAAAAUUCCAGUUGAUGAGGAAGUGCUGACAGAAAUGUAGGUGACAGAACUGGUGAGUUAUGGAUGCUUUUGCCCUCUGGCCUUUAUAUUUAUCAGUGCACAAAUGACUUUUAAGACCUAAUGUUAUUUACUCACUGGUUCUUACUGAGGAGUAGGUUAAGAGGUACUGCCAUAGCUAGUGGAAUAUAGUAAUAAAUACUAGUUUUGUUUUGGUGCUGCUGUAUGC